AUAGUUUCUCGGCCUUUCAGCUUAGACCAGGUUGUUGUAUCUGUACUUAUCAGUUUAAUCCGAUACGUCCCUAUCUGGGGAUCAUAUAUUAAAUCGAUUUUUGAGAACUGGGGCCGAUUCGAAGCUUGCUUCUGUCACAAAGCAUUGGCCUGAUAUGGCGGUAUCUUCGCGAGUGCAUCUCCC